AUACUUUAUUUAGACAGACUAGUAGCAAAGCAGUUCGUACCUGUCUAUAAUUCGGAACCAUGAGGUUCUUGAUGGCCUAGCAUUCUUCCUCUGUUUCAUGGCAUUUCCAAGCUUCUCGGUCACCACCCAUUCAUUGACACGACUUGCUUCCAAGAGUCCAAUAAUUGCUGCUUUAGUUCGAUGGAGCGACAUGACAUUCUCAAAGAGUAUCCAGAGUACUAGUAGAUGCAUGGAUCUUUCUCAUGUAUAAGUGGAUGUAGAAUAAUUAGGUGAGGACCAAGUACCUUUGGGUGGAGACUGCAUUUAGAAUUGUAAUGGUUGCUGGGAUGUAGAUGGCAAUCUGCUUUUUGAGAGUGACUUCAGGAACUAUCACACAAGCUGGUAUAACUAUGCAGUAGAAGAAGAACGUCACCCAAUGUGCAACUAUUUUCCUCACAAAGAAGAAAGCAUAGACAAGAUGAAGUCUCUUGAGAAGCGGUACCUUCUGGAUUAUACAUACAGGUUCAAUCAAUAUAAGAUUUUGUAAAUCUUGGUUAGCUGUUUAAGGGAAAAUUAUGAGAUUACUUACAUGGCAGUAGAGGAUUUCCAUGGUCAUUUUCUUGAAGAGAUUAGCUGGCCCACAUGACCACCUGUGCUGCUGAUAUCGGUAUGCUUUAAAUGUGCUUGGCAGUUCAUUUUUUACCUGACAAGCAUCGAAAUUUCCCCACAUGGUAUGGUAUAGUUUAUGGGUUACUCAAGCUUACAAGAAGAUAUUAUAUCAAAGGAAUUAGUUAAGUAUGGAUAACUCACUUUUACGUCACCCACGAAAAUAAAGUCCCAACCCUUCAGGCUUGCCCGAACUGCAAGGUCCAUAUCCUCCACUGUGGUUCGGUGAUUCCAUCCUCCAGCAUCUCUUAUUGCUUGAAUCCGCCAAACUCCUGCUGUCCCUGUAUGUAAUAGAGGAAAUUUGAGCAAGCCCGUAUGUAUUAGAGGAAAUUUGAGUAAGCUUGCUGCAAAGGUGCUUGUCUGAAUUUAAUUCAAUGAACAUUUUAACUGACCAUUGAAACCAAAGAAUGAGUAUGUUGAAGAGCCCACUUCCUGUUCCACACUGAAGUGAUAAUCGAGUGACAUCUCUUGAAGCCGUGUCAUCAUACAUUCCUCGGAAUUCACUGUAUUGACAUGAAAACAAUUUUAAAGAACUUUGAUUUGCUGGACUCAUUAAUAAGGUGUGAUGUCACAUUGAUGUGGUUGGAACAAUUUAACAAGGUGUUAUUGGCAGUUACUUACCAAAUUUCCAUCUUGCUUGAACCAAACCAAAUUUUGGGUUCUCAAGCAGGUAAGGAAUUGUAUUCCAAAGAAAAUCUGCAUCUGGCUGAAAAUCUGCAUCAAAUAUUGCUACAAAUUCGCAAUCCUUGACAUAUUCCUUCUCCAAACCCUCCUUUAGGGCACCUGCCUUGUAACCAUUGCGAUUUGUCCUUGUUUCAUAUUUGACAUUCACACCUUUCUGUAUCCAUCUUUGACACUCUGUUCCGACCAAUUCCUGCAUGUUUGAAAACACAAUACUGUAAAUUUGUACACAAAACGUGCAUAUGGAAUCUGCAUUGAAGCUUUACUGGAUUAAUUGCAUACCCUUAAGACUGGAUUUGUUGAGUCAUCAAGAACCUGAACUAUGAACCUGUCUGCUGGCCAUGACAGCCCACAUACUGCUCCAAUUGAAAGCUUGUAGACCUGGAAGCAGAAAUUGAAAUCUUUUAGAUGAGAAUUUUGCAUACACUCAAGUUCAAUGUGGGCAAUAUUUUCUAGUAUUUCAGCUAUACUGGCGGCUUCCUUAUCAAUGGAUUGUUCGUUACAAGUUAUCAGGGGGAAGGGGAAGUUUUCAUUUCCAUAGGUACUGCUUUCAUUGUGCUAAACUAUUUUCUCUUCUGCUAUUAGAGGUUGAAAUAAAAUAUGAAUUGCCCAAAUGAUGCUGUGUCGAUCACGGCCGUAAGAGGCUUCUGAAGUGUUUUGCUAUGCAAGAUGCAUUACACAAGGUAGUUUCCGUUUAUGAUGAACUAUGUCAAGUCUUGUAUGUGUUAUGAAUGAAAUGGUGGCUGCAGAACAAUAAAUAUAGGAAGUAUGUUCGUGUGUCUUUUUUGAGAAAUUAUACUGUCAGGACUCUGGCAAAGCCUUGAGUCUUGACUUAGGCUCUCAUCAUAUUAACUUGAUUAGCAUGUGAGUUACUGUUGUAAGGUGUAAUUGAUGAAAGAAAUUCCUUUUUCCUGUGUAUCAGAUCAGUCUUGAUAGGUUUGUUUUGGCCAGUACAAAACUAUGAGCUUCAGACAACUUUUAUUAUGUCGGUUAUCUUGAUUUUGUUGUGGCAUUCAACUCUUUUACAUGUUUACUAUGUCACAUUCAGCCACGUAUAGGUUUGUAUCAGUUUUCUGUGAGUUGUCAUAGGUUUGCAUGUAUCUGCAAUAUAGUAUACCUGUUUACUGUACCACAAUUCAGCCACGUAUCAGUUUUUUGAGUAGUUAUGCCUAGACAAAAGUAUCAGCUUCAGACAAUUUUAUUAUGUCUAUCUUGAUUUUAUUGCACUAUUCAACUCUUUUACGUGUUUACUAUACCAAAUUUCAGCCAUGUAUAGGUUUUUAUCACAUUGUUUGUUGUCAUAGGUUUGCACGUAUCUGCAAUAUAGUAUAUCUGUUUACUGUACCACAAUUCAGCCACGUAUCAGUUUUCUGAGUUGUCAUAGCUUCAUAGUUUUGGUUUUAUCUGCUGCAAUAUAGAUAUACUAUUUAAUUCAUAUAUCUUCUCUGAUGAUAUUAAUGGAUAGGGUACUUGACUGUUCUUGCCUAUACUAAGAAUCCUGAAUACAUACCUGUGUAGGUAGCAAUUUGUGUCUAAGCUCAUACUCAGUGGGAACCUAUAUAUCCAUACCUGAAUCUAUUAAACAUUUAUUUAGUUAAAAGUGUCUUGGUUUUUGACAACCUAGUAAAAUAAAAUUAUUAUUUUAGAACUAAAUUAACUAUAAAAAUUUAUAAAAUAAAAAACAUUAAUUGAAAGUGUAAUGUAUCUAACAUAAUUAAAAGAUAUUCAAUGAUCUUUUCAAAUCUUAGUUGGAAUACACUGACGUGCAUGUUUAGACAAGUUGGACAUCAUAGUAUCCAUGCAAUCCUGUGAAGGGUAAUUACAUGGGACUGAACCUAAACCCAUUUGAUGGGUAACAAAACUUAUUUAUUGUGGGUACUCGUUGGAUCCAAGUCUAAAUGCCAUUUCUUAUCUUUCCCAGUUUUACCCGAGUGGGAGAAGUAACUGCCUUAAAUUAGUUGGCCUAGUUUUCUUAGUAAGUGUGUUAGCAAUGCAGAUUUUGCUGCAAAGUGACUCUUGUUGGAUGGUAAACUAAUAAAAAUGGGAGAAUACAUUUCCUUAGUUUCUGCCUUCAUUCUGUUCCACGUAUUUUAUUUCAGCCAUUAGUGAUUGCAAUGUUAAAAAGCCAAUGAGUUACCCUGUUAAUAUUUCAUUUCAUGGAUAAUAGGAGUAAUUAGGUCACUGAAAAUGUUGAGUUUGUAGGAUAGGUUAAAGAUCCAUAUUUGGUAUUUGUGGAAUGAUACCUAUUGAGCAAUAAAUAUAGGAAGUUUGUUGUUUCACGUAUAUGGGUCAAUUGUCACAGGACUAUGGAACAACCUUGGCAUGUGCCCUUGACAAAUUAACUGGGUUAGCGUGGGAAUUACUUUUGUGAUUAUUUAAAGAAACUUCUUUGCACUUUGUAUAUCCGACUCUUGAUAAUUGUUAUACACCUUGUACAUAAUUGAUGGAUUCAGAUAAUUAUUUUUAUGCGUAUAUUCAUUUAACCUUACAUGUCCACAUUUUGUUUGCACUAUCCAAUUCGCUCCACUAUUUUAAUGUCUGUGUUCCACAAUUCUGCCUAAAUUUAGAUUUUAUUUCAGGAAUUUAAUUAAAAUGCAAUGGCAGCAAAGGUUUUGAUCAUCAAUUGUCGUGUAUGGUAGGAUUGUUGACUUUCCUAAUAAUUACUCUUAACAGUCAUAUCAUAUCGAGGAUUAUUUUUAAUUGAUUGACUGUGUGAAUCUUUACACUGCCAGUACAUCAAAAUUAAACUCUUUAUUUUAAGGCAGAUGAAUCCUCAAUAUUGCUAUGCAUAUUUACCUUUCCAUGUUUUCCCAAGCAUGGACCAAGAUAUUUCUGGAUUUGUUUUUCCGCUGCUCAUUAACUGUUUUAUGUCUUGUAGGGAGCAUCAGAUUGCAGUUUUUAUUAUAUAGUGAUGUUUAUUAGAGGGCUAACUAGUGAAACUAUUUAUUUUUGGGGAUAAGGAAACAGUUUUCCAUACUUUGGAAGGGGGCGAUAGUUCUGAUUUUGCAUGUCAUUGAAUCUGUCUCUGACUAGUAAUAUUCUUUUCCCAAGAGUUAGCAAUUUAGUUUAUGCUGGAAGGCUGGAUGCACUUGGUCAUAUGCAUCAAGCAAAUAGGUCACAUUUCUGGGAAAGAGAAGUGCGGUUGUCCUCCUUUGUUCUGCAUUUCAUAAUUUUUUUGUGCUUGUUUCAUUUGUUGUCCCUCGUGCUAUAAUGCUAUAUAGAUAAGCUUGUUUAUUGGUUUAUCUUGAAUUGCAAAGUCCUGUGUGUAUUAAAUGUGUGACAGAUCUUAUUUUUCUUGCAAAUUGGAUGGCAAAUCAUGUGAAGAAUCUUUUAUAGUUCUGCCGUGUUCUCUAACCCCUCCUAGGGGUUUGUGGUGUGUCAUAUUUUCUUGUUUAAAACUGGUAUUUCCAUGUUUUUCGCUUUCCAGUGGUGAUUUACAUGCAUGGUGGAGAAUUUGUCAUGUAUAAUGAGUGGGUUAUUUCAUAAAGUACAAGUCUGUUUGGUUUGCUGGUGUCAGCAAUAUGUUGUAUUUAUUUGUUUGUCAUAACUUUGUUUCUAUUUUGGAUGCAUGAUUCAGUUGAGCUGGUGUGCUUUGUUUUUGGGUCUUUAUGUUGGUCGCAUGUAAUUGCUGUCACUGUAAGGAGAGUGUUUAUUGUUUAAGGACUUCUGUUAAAUUUUUCAUUUUGGGCUCGGUAGAUCUGUUGGACAUGUAAAAGGAACUGACCCCUUUUUAUUUUGGAUGUCUCUGCUGUGCUUGUUUAUAUCCUUGCCUUUUCAUUUCCCGUUCAGUGUACUAUAUAAACAAUGAGUUAUCGUUAAAUAUGAUGGUGUAGAAAUAUU